CAAGCUUAAACUUACACAACUUUCAAUUUGAGAGCCCAGGGAUUCUUGAACAGGGCAUGAGAAUUAUGUAAUGCUAAACCCAGGAUAAUUUGAUUCUCUGUGUUAUUUAUUUGUUUAUUUCUAGUUUGAAUGUCUUCUUAACAAAUGCAACCCUAAUAAUUUUUUCCAAAAAUCUUUUAGAAUUUACCAGUGGACCUAAUCAGUGCAUCUAUAACCAGCAGUCUGAAUAGCUGUUUAUAUGACAUUAGCAUUUUCUACUUUCUCACUCAGCCCUCCUUGCUAGACUUUACAACAAGAUCUGUGGCUGCAUUCAGUAGCCAGUCCCCUGGUACCUACUGACUGGCUGCUUCUGCUAUGCCUGGAGCCAGGAAAGGUGUCACUUCAGUCUUCCUUCCUCUGCAUUUCUACAUGGAGAUUCUGAUGCCUAAGGCAAAAGGUGCUGGGCCUGUCUGCCACAAUCUUCAAAUGUUCACUGAAAUGUUCCCAGAUAUCUCCAGAUAUCAGCCUAUGUGGUUGGCUAUCCUUCCUCAGUAUUUGUUGUUCUGUCUAGGUGCUGUCUUCAUGGCUAAGAUAAAAAAAAAAAUUAAAAACAAAAGAAAACCAAGAAAAUCCCGUUACUGUUUUCUUUUCCAUUUUUUCAUAUCUGUCUGUGAAUACCAACUCUUUUUCCUGUACAUCUAUGCAAGGCCAACUGGAAGUGAGAUGAUUAGCAAACUACGGCAAUGGCCCUGAAAGGGAAGCAGAGCUUGUGACAGUUGGAAAGGAAGGAACUCUAUGGUCCUUCCUGUGAAGGAUGUUGCACUGUUUCUCCUCUGCAUCAGCUUUUCCUUCAGUUUCCUUUUCUCCUUACUGCUUCCUUUCUCCCAACUCCCAUUCCUAUAAAAGAACUAAUUAGCAUACCACAUGCCCCAGUAAUGAAGCAUCACACCAAAUGUAACAGUAGAAAGAUAGAGAAGGCUAUGGCUAAUUUUGUAAAAAUCAGCACCAGCUUCUGCUUCAGAAGGGAAGGUUUUAUGUGGGGAACAGGCUGAGUUGUGGGUAGCAUGCAUGGCAGAAGUGCACAAUUGUAUAACUUCAAUGAAAUCCAUAGUGCUUUCUGAAAUAAAAGAGUGCAUGCAAUAUGAUAAUAAGAGCACAAAUUACCACUGCCCAGCUUGGCAACCUUCAACUGUCUCUGGGCCUCACUUUGCUUUUCUGAAAUACCGAAAAGAUACUAUUGUCUCUCCCAUCGGAUUGUUGCAAAAUUUUCAUGAUGAACGUUUUGAAUGUUCCCGGCCACAGCAUUGCUGCCAGGUAACAAUUAACAAUGAUCCCGAGAUUUUUUUGUUACUAUUUCCCUCCUGCCACUUACAUGUAGUUCUGCAGUAUUUGUGUGUGUGUGUGUGUGUGUGUGUGUGUGUGUGUGUGUGUGUGUGUGUGAGAGAGAGAGAGAGAGAGAGAGAGAGAGAGAGAGAGAGAUGGCUUUUUCCUGAAGAACAUAAGAACAUGCUUGACUUUUUGGCUGUUACAAGUUUACUGGUAUGUUGGAAGGAUAUAAAAUGCUGUCACAGGAUACGUCUGCUAUUGGAAAGGUGAAUCUCCCAUUGUCUUAAGUGCAAGACAAGCUCAGGCUAUGCCUAGAAGAGUGAGGUAGUCUUGAAGAGCAGCUGCUGAAAGGAAGAUAGCUGUGGCUUUCUCUGAGCCUAGAGUCAUGCUACAAGAAGAGGCUGAGCUAUGAGUGUGAUUAGGAAGGGAAGGGUGUCUAACAUAAAACUAUGUUCUGGGGGAGAGAAAGUCAUGCUCUAUGAAGCAUUUACGGCCACAUAUUUAUGUCAGGCUUCUAUGGUAUUUUCUGCUUGUUAAGAUCAGAUUAUGUUGAGAAAUUAAUUAACAUCCCAUUUCUGUAGCAUAAUCUUCUUUGUCUUAGAGGGAACCCCAGGUAGACUAUCAUCAAUCUAUAUCUCUUGGCUCUCUAGGUACAUGGGUGCUCUGCCCUUAAUAUUAGUCACUCUCAAACUUGGAUUUCCAGGAUCCCUUGGCCCUCGCGAGCCUUUAGGAUGUGGGUUUUAUCGAUAGAUUUGACCAGGUUAAGUAUUAGAACUUAGAUUUAAAAAAAAAAAUUAAAAAGAUAUCAAUUCCAGCAUGAAUGGUAGUCCACACUUUUAAUUUGAGCUAGCACAUAGAGAAAAGUAAGAAAGGAAAAUCAGUUAUUAGUUCCAGGUCAGCUUGGGCUACUUAGG